CCUACACAUGCAAGUCGAACGGCAGCAUAAGAGAGCUUGCUCUCUUGAUGGCGAGUGGCGGACGGGUGAGUAAUGUAUAGGGAUCUGCCCAGUAGUGGGGGACAACAGCCGGAAACGGCUGCUAAUACCGCAUACGCUCUACGGAGGAAAGCGGGGGACCUUUCGGGGCCUCGCGCUAUUGGAUGAACCUAUAUCAGAUUAGCUAGUUGGUGGGGUAAUGGCCUACCAAGGCAACGAUCUGUAGCUGAUCUGAGAGGAUGAUCAGCCACACUGGGACUGAGACACGGCCCAGACUCCUACGGGAGGCAGCAGUGGGGAAUAUUGGACAAUGGGGGAAACCCUGAUCCAGCAAUGCCGCGUGUGUGAAGAAGGCCUUCGGGUUGUAAAGCACUUUCAAUAGGGAGGAAAAGCUGUGCGUUAAUAGCGUAUAGCCGUGACGUUACCUAUAGAAGAAGCACCGGCUAACUCCGUGCCAGCAGCCGCGGUAAUACGGAGGGUGCAAGCGUUAAUCGGAAUUACUGGGCGUAAAGCGCGCGUAGGCGGUUUGCUAAGUCAGAUGUGAAAUCCCCGGGCUCAACCUGGGAAUGGCAUUUGAGACUGGUAGGCUAGAAUGUGGUAGAGGUGAGUGGAAUUCCAGGUGUAGCGGUGAAAUGCGUAGAGAUCUGGAGGAACAUCAGUGGCGAAGGCGACUCACUGGGCCAUUAUUGACGCUGAGGUGCGAAAGCGUGGGUAGCAAACAGGAUUAGAUACCCUGGUAGUCCACGCCCUAAACGAUGUCAACUAGGUGUAUGGAGAAUUUAUUCUUUGUGUAUCGAAGCUAACGCGAUAAGUUGACCGCCUGGGGAGUACGGUCGCAAGACUAAAACUCAAAUGAAUUGACGGGGGCCCGCACAAGCGGUGGAGCAUG
rnacentral:rRNA from 1 species